rnacentral:tRNA from 1 species
UCCCUGGUGGUCCAGUAGUUAGGACUUGGCACUUUCACUGCUGAGGCCCAGGUUCAAUCCCUGCUUGGGGAA